rnacentral:rRNA from 1 species
GAUGAACGCUGGCGGCGUGCUUAACACAUGCAAGUCGAGCGAAGCACUUAUGAAAGAUUCUUCGGAUGAAUUCAUUUGUGACUGAGCGGCGGACGGGUGAGUAACGCGUGGGUAACCUGCCUCAUACAGGGGGAUAACAGUUGGAAACGACUGCUAAUACCGCAUAAGCGCACAGUACCGCAUGGUACCGUGUGAAAAACUCCGGUGGUAUGAGAUGGACCCGCGUCUGAUUAGCUAGUUGGUGGGGUAACGGCCUACCAAGGCGACGAUCAGUAGCCGACCUGAGAGGGUGACCGGCCACAUUGGGACUGAGACACGGCCCAAACUCCUACGGGAGGCAGCAGUGGGGAAUAUUGCACAAUGGGGGAAACCCUGAUGCAGCAACGCCGCGUGAGUGAAGAAGUAUUUCGGUAUGUAAAGCUCUAUCAGCAGGGAAGAAAAUGACGGUACCUGACUAAGAAGCCCCGGCUAACUACGUGCCAGCAGCCGCGGUAAUACGUAGGGGGCAAGCGUUAUCCGGAU